AUCCUAGUGCAAGGGUUUUACACGUGUCAGUGAGGAGACAUCCGAGACCGUGUUUUUGCUAGUUGAAAACUACCUAGUUUGACCGCUCCAGAUGGCCUUCGGGUCGUCUGGGAAUUUUUGAAAAACACACUGCCCUGACUCCUCGUUUGUGG
rfam:Aspergillus terreus NIH2624 scaffold_3 genomic scaffold, whole genome shotgun sequence.